ensembl:snoRNA SNORD58 Small nucleolar RNA SNORD58
UUGCAGUGAUGACAAUCUUAGGACACCUUUGGAAUUAACUGUGAAAACAAAACUUAAAUCUGAGCAAC